UACGUAGGGUGCGAGCGUUGUCCGGAAUUAUUGGGCGUAAAGAGCUCGUAGGCGGUCUGUCGCGUCGAUCGUGAAAACUUGGGGCUUAACCCUGAGCUUGCGGUCGAUACGGGCAUGACUGGAGUUCGGCAGGGGAGACUGGAAUUCCUGGUGUAGCGGUGAAAUGCGCAGAUAUCAGGAGGAACACCAAUGGCGAAGGCAGAUCUCUGGGCCGUAACUGACGCUGAGGAGCGAAAGCAUGGGGAGCGAACAGG
rnacentral:rRNA from 1 species